AUCAAGCUUCCUGCAGGGCUUUUAUUUUGUUAGCGCCGUUUUAUUUUGAAACAGCUGAGCGGAAGUGUUCGGUGUGAGUCUGCAGCUGCAGCAGUGAGGGUGAGUCUGUGGACAGAGACUGAGGAGAGAACCCCGCGACUCACUGAGCAACACAACUUUACUCUGUUUAACUACAACGACACGUCCCGCUUUAAUCCUGCUUUAAUCCUGGUUUAAUCCCGGAUCAAUCCCGGAUUUAACCUGGCAAUCAGCGGCUGUUUCAGACCGGAGGUUCAGACUGUCCAGGCUGCGACUGUUUAACUCCCCCUGUUGGAAAGACAAAGAACUGCACCUGCACUGCCAGCUAACGGCUAACAGUUAACGGCUAACCAGUGGUUGUGCUGGUGUUGGAUGGCCACAGGAGUGAACUACUGGAACUCUUAUGAACCCAGUUACAAGGUGAGUGAGUGUGUGUGGGGCGGAGAACAGGAGUCCAGCAGUGAGGAGGGAGGAGGAGGGGUCACAUGGGAAACACCUGCCAUGGAGGUCAAAGGUCAACUCAUUCCAGCACCUGACCCUCUCACCUGUCCGGACAGGAAGCAGAGGGAGCGAAUGGCAGAGCUGCAGGAGAGGAGGCGGAGCCUACAGGUGCUGCUGAGCACACGAUUGGCUGAGCUCAGACGCAUCUGUCUGCAGGAGGCGGAGCUGACAGGUGCGGUGCCCAGUGACUUCCCCCUGGAGGCCGGAGAGAAACCCCCCUCUGUCCGACGGAGAGGGGGAGCGUCCCGUCACGGAAACAGGAAGUGUAGAGCAGAGGAGGACGACUCUCAGCGUUCGAAGCCGAAGAAAACUUUAUUCAGCGCCACUCUGAGGAAACACAAUGACCCUGAACACAACACACACACUCAGAUACACACACACCACGGCAAGAGGACUGUACACAGAGGCUGUCACACAGAUGACACAGUGAGGUCAGAGAGCAGCUCGACAUCAGACUCAACAGGACACGACAACGAUGACAGUGUUUCUCAAUGCCGCCCACCGCUGGUCUCUGCUGGUUCUCCAGUUGAGGUUUUCUACCAGAACAAAACCAGGAGGAACUCCCUGCACAACAGGUCUGAUCAUCCAGAGACUCUUCAGACUCACAAGCCCCUCCCCUUGCCUCCCUCCCACCCUCCCCCUCGCUCUCAGGAUUCCUCCUCCUCCUCUGGCCCCUCUGAUCUCGGAGCGGCAGGUGAGGGGAGGGUGAACGCCGCCCGUCGCAGUAACAGCUCUGACGGCCUCCUGGACCGCGUCUCCCCCCCAGAGGAGGAGGGGGGGCCACAGCAGGGAGGAUUGUGGGUAAAUGGUCUUUCCGGGUCCAGAGGAACAAAUGUCGCCGGAGCGUUCAGGAGCUCUGAGACGCUGACAAGAACGAACACCAGACUGGCCGAGGGGGGAGGGAGGGGGGAGGGGGCGGGAAGAGCAGAAAGAGGGGGGGGGGGUACAGUGAGGUCCUGCUGGACUACGUCUGGGGCAAACAGCAGCAGCUGCAGCGACAGCAGUCCCAGACCAACAGCAGGCAGCCAAUCACGUCGCAGCACCAGCUGCUCUACAACGGUUACUCCGCCCAGCAGCCGUCUGCAGCCCCGCCCACCUACCGUGGUAACCAUGGUGACCAGUGGCGAGUCAAAGUGACCCGCACCAAAUCCUGCGGCCCCUUCCUCCCAGUGCAGCAGAGCCAGUCUGAUACCCACAAUCCUCCUCUGUCCGCCAUCCAGCCAGACCCCCACCCCCACCUGCUGCCCCCCCGACCCCCACAGCUGCCCCCCAACCAGGACGCCCAGCUGGAGGAGGCCACCAGGAGCCUGCACAAGGCCCUCGCCCUGGAGGGUCUGAGGGACUGGUACCUGAGGAACACCAUAGGCUCCACCCACCCAAACCAGGCCAAUGUAAAGGUGAGCACAGGUGGCACCACAGGGCUCUCCACUAAGUUGAACGGCGGGGUCAAAGGUCAGGCAGGUGGAGGCGGAGCUCUGCAGCGCAGACGGACGACUCACAGCAUCACCCAGCUGUCAACAGAGACGACUCAUCAUGCUCCAUCGCAUCACAAACAGACGCUGCCGCAUUCAGCCACGUUCCACGGACACCCGCUGCACGGCAGGUCUGUGGAAGGCCCUCUCUACCACGACUCCUUCCCUCAGAAACAGGAAGUUCUUCUCAGAGACUUACCUGUGGACCAGCCGUCUCCAGGGACCCUUGUCUGACUCACCAACCAAUCAGGACACUCGCAGACAGGUGAAUGGACCAAUCACAGGCUGGCUUCCUGGGAUCAACCACCACCUGUGUGUCCAGGUGACUGAAUCAAACACACCUGUAGAUGGGCAGAGGUCCUGGUCCCAGUAGAUGUUCUUGCUCUGCUGGAGAUCCUCCACCUUCUUCUCCCGAGACCCCGUCCACCAUGAUGAUGUCACUGCUCAGGUGGAGGAAACUGGAUAAACCACAACAAACCAGGACCAGGUCUCACAGGAGAUGAUCUGGUGUUUGUAUCAGGGAUGGAAAUCAACAAACCGACUCCCCCUCCCUCCCUUUCCUUCUGACAUUUUUAACUUUUCUAGGACGUCUCAGACUCUGCUCAGACAAUCAGGACUCAUCAGAGACAGUGAUGAAGAUGAAGAUGGUGAUGAUGCGCUCUCUCUCUCUCUCUCUGAGGACAGCAGCACUCUGACAUCACCAGCUCAGUCCAGCCAACCAGCAGUUUCUAAAGUCUGAAGAUGAACUUUUAUAAAACUGAUCAGGUGACCUGUUCGAUCCCUCAGGUGAGUCCUUCAGAAACCAGCAGCUGAAGAUCCUCCAGGUGUUUUCACAGCCUGGAUUCAGCGUCUCUGCACUAAACAUGAAGACUCAGCUUCCUGUUGAAGACUGAACAUGUCUGCUCACACAGAACGGGUCUCAGUCAGAACCGUUCCCAGACCCAGUCAGAACCCAAACCGCAUCAGGAGCCUCAUGUACAAACUGUAGGAUCCAAACCAAAGGUCACAGCAGCGUUGGUUCAUCAUGAUGUUUAUUUACAACUGAGUCACCUUCAACAGGUGACACCCCCACACCUGUCUGUUAGCCUGUUAGCCUGCUAGCCUGCUCUGAGCUCCACCAGUGUUUCCUGUGUUCAGGAGAUGGGAAAUGAAACCAACAUUUAAACCCUGUUCUUUUCAUGAAAAGAACUACAAACAUGGCCGCCCUGUGCUCAAAUCUGUACACUACGUUAUGCUAAGUUCAAUUCUGAACUGGGAUGGCGUUCCAGUUGAGAAGUCAGAGAAACAUGAACACUCUCAGAGCUUUUAUAGACAACUUCUAACCAGAUCUGCUCCACCUGAAGAACACCAGCAGAGAGUUCACUGCUGUUGAUGUGAGGAGCAGCCAUCUUGGAUUCUGAUGUCGGGGUUGGGUCAGAGAGAAACUUGAAUGCAGCAUUAGCCCUGUUCUUUUCAGAAAAAGAACUACAAACAUGGCCGCUGUGUGCGCUACAUUACAAUUGAUUAAUCUGCACAUUCAUUGAUUAACAGACACAUCAGUUUCUCAGCACAGAAAGACUUUUUAUUUAUUAUCAGAUGAGGUCAGAGAAAAGUCAAAGGUCAAAGGUCAGAGAUAAACCCAGCAGAUCUGAGGCUCCUGAUGCUGUGGAUCAGCAGCUGCUGCACCAACACUCUGACUGAUCUCAGAUCAGCUGAAUCAACAUGUGAAUAUUUUAUUUUGAAAGUUUUUUAUUUUAAACUUCCUGUGUCUAAUCAGCCUCAGAAUCCAGAUCCAGAUUCAGUCUGAGAGCAAUAAGAGGAUCUCUGUGUCUCAGCAGCGACAAUCAGACGACGAUGUCACAGUGUUGAUUGAUUCUUUUGUGAUUGAUUGGUUUAUUGAUCAACUGAAAUGAUCUGUUUUGUACUGAGCUGUGAACACUUUUAUAAAACGUAUGAGAUGAAGUCAGCGGAGGAAACUGCCCUGAGAUCAGCUCCUCCACUGAUCACAGUAUUUAUUAUUGUUGUUGUUGUUGUUGUUGUUGUUUGUCGCUGACUCCGGCUCAGCGUUUGAUCAGUUUUUGUUCCUGUCAUCAGUUUGUUCUCAAACCAAAAACUCUGUCUCCUCUGUUCUGAGAUCAGUUUUACAGAAUCAGGUCUUUGAGUGUCACAGAAACCGUCUGACCUCCAGCUCCCUCCCAACGAAGCCGUGGUCACAUGACAGACGCUGGAAACGCCUGGUCAGUGAUGUCACACAGGUGUCAUCUCAAACAGCAGCAACAGUAAAAACACCUGAGCUUUAUUCACGUGAAAUAGCCCCGCCCACCUCCAGAACCCCCCCCCCCCCCGACAGGACUGGACUUUACCAGGAAAGUCCUGGUAAAGUCUUUCCUGGUGAAGUCACUCAGGUUGAUUGACAGCUGUCAUGUGACAGCGGCUUCAGUCCCAGCAUGCACCUCUCGAGUCUCACACCAAAGCAGAACAGACGUCAGGACGAAACACAAACAUUAAGUAAAUAAAGUUUCAGCCCGAGUACUGCGGUACCUCUGUGUAGUACUCUGUAGUAUUCAGGGCUGGAGCUGGGAUUACAGAGGCCUCAGGUCCAGACUCCUUCCCCAUCUCCUCCACCUCCAUCUCCAUCUCCUUGAUUUGUCAUGUUUCAUGUUCAGGAGUGUCAUGUGACCACAGAGUCAUGUGAGCACCUCUGUGUCCUCAGAACUUCAGCCCUGACCUGUUCAGUACUCUGUUGGAGCAGUAUUAACUCAGCUGUGUGUCUCUGCUGUGGUGCGUUCAGGUGCACUCUGUGCAGUCGGUCUUUGUUUCUAAAAAUCAUUUUCUAUCUUUUUGGACUUUAAUCUCUGACUGUUUCUACUUUUUCACUGAACUUUCUGCUGUUUCACCCUCCUGUAAAUAAACCACUGUAAACAGACUGUUUUUAAAUAAAGUUUUCUCUUCACGCUUCAAUCCA